rnacentral:misc_RNA from 1 species
GGGCAAAUGAUUGUGCCUUUUUCUAGUGGUAUGAUCCACCAUGCUUUGGACAUGAGAACGAGAUCCUUGCUUUUUUGUUGAGGCUAAGAAAUUCACUGAAGGAGAAAGUAAAAGCCUUGAAGGAGCUCAUUAACAAAGUGACAGAUAAAUGAGUAGUGGUAAAUGAGAAGUGUGAGAAAAUGGAGACGCUUAGCAUUCAAUUACAAUUCAAUUACAAUGCAUAAUUGAAGAGCUGACAAGGUCGAAGGAAACAUUGCAAAUUCAAAUCUUGGAAUUGAAGAAAGAGUUGGGGUUGCAGAGGAGAAAGAGUGUGGUUUAUUUUGUGUUAGUUGUAUUGGUUGUGCUUUAUGUGUUGAAUUUGAAAAUGUAUGGUAAUAGGGUCAAUGGAACUGGGUUAUUUAUGUUGCAUUGAAUGUAAAGGGUUGUGUAUGUGGAUUUUUA